rnacentral:snRNA from 1 species
UGAUGCCCCAAAACAAUGACAACAGCAACAUCAAAAAUCAAUGAUACAGAGAAAAUUAGCAUGGCUCCUGCGCAAGGAUGACAUGCAAAUUCAUGAAACGUUCCAUAUUUUU